GACGAACGCUGGCGGCGUGCUUAACACAUGCAAGUCGAACGAUGAACCCGGAGCUUGCUCCGGCGGAUUAGUGGCGAACGGGUGAGUAACACGUGAGUAACCUGCCAUUGACUCUGGGAUAACUGCGGGAAACUGUAGCUAUUACCGGAUACGACGCUCGGCGGCAUCGCCGGGGGGUGGAAAGAAUUUCGGUCAAGGAUGGACCCGCGGCCUAUCAGCUAGUUGGAGAGGUAACGGCUCACCAAGGCGACGACGGGUAGCCGACCUGAGAGGGUGACCGGCCACACUGGGACUGAGACACGGCCCAGACUCCUACGGGAGGCAGCAGUGGGGAAUAUUGCACAAUGGGCGCAAGCCUGAGGCAGCAACGCCGCGUGAGGGAUGACGGCCUUCGGGUUGUAAGCCUCUUUUAGUAGGGAAGAAGCGAAAGUGACGGUACCUGCAGAAAAAGCACCGGCUAACUACGUGCCAGCAGCCGCCGUAAUAC
rnacentral:rRNA from 1 species